CGCGGGGAUUUGCCUGACUGAGGAUACCUUGUUACGACUUAACACCAGUCGCCAGUUUUACCCUAAACGGCUCCUUAUCGGUUACCGUCUUCAGGUCUCCCUGACUCCCAUUGUUUGACGGGCGGUGUGUNCANGGUCCGGGAACGUAUUCACCGCGUCAUUGCUGAUACGCGAUUACUAGCGAUUCCAGCUUCAUGAGGUCGAGUUGNAGACCUCAAUCCGAACUGAGACGUACUU
rnacentral:rRNA from 1 species